rnacentral:rRNA from 1 species
AUUGAACGCUGGCGGCAGGCCUAACCCAUGCAAGUCGAGCGAGCGGCGGACGGGUGAGGAAUGUAUGGGGACUGCCCGAUAGAGGGGGAUACCUACUGGAAACGGUAGCUAAUACCGCAUACAAUCGGACUACCCAGAUGGGUUUAGCUAGUGGGUGAGGUACUGGCCCACCUAGGCGACGAUCCCUAGCUGGUCUGAGAGGUUGAUCAGCCACACUGGGACUGAGACACGGCCCAGACUCCUACGGAGGCAGCAGUGGGGAAUAUUGCACAAUGGGCGCAAGCCUGAUACAGCCAUGCCGCGUGUAUGAAGAAGGCCCUAGGGUUGUAAAGUACUUUCAGUCGGGAGGCGUUACCGACAGAAGAAGCACCGGCUAACUCCGUGCCAGCAGCCGCGGUAAUAC